rnacentral:rRNA from 1 species
UCCCUCAGUAAGGGCGACUGAAGCGGGAAGAGCUCAUUCUGUGAAUCUGUAUACUAUUUUUGGUAUACCGAGUUGUGGAAUAUAGAAGCACAUCAGUUCGAGUUCUGGUCUAAGUCUCUUGGAAAAGAGCAGCUUAGAGGGUGACACUCCCGUUCUUGGCUAGAACUCAAACUUUAGCAUGUGGUUUCGACGAGUCGAGUUGCUUGGGAUUGCAGCUCAAAGUUGGUGGUAAAUUCCAUCUAAAGCUAAAUAUCGGUGGGAGACCGAUAGCGUACAAGUACCGUGAGGGAAAGAUGCAAAGAACUUUGAAAAAAGAGUUAAAGAGUACCUGAAAUUGCUGAAAUGGAAGCGAAGGAAACCAGUGCCGUUCUAUACCAUUUUUCUGUUCUUGCUUGCGAGAAUAGCGCUGUGGUUUAGUACAGGCCAGCGUGAGUUUGAGCCGAAGGAAGCAGCUUUGCAGGAGGCAGCACAAUUUCUGUGCGAUUACUGCUUAGUUUUGCUUCGGCUUGGACUGAGGCUAGUCACUUGUGCUCGUGACGCUGGCGAAAUGGUUUUCUUUACCCCGUCUUGAAACACGGACCAAGGAGUCUAACAUAUGUGCGAGUAUAUGAGUGACAAACUCACGUGCGAAAUGAAAGUAACAGUGGUUGGACCUUUUGGGGCACAAUCCGCCGGCCACAAUCCUUCGGGAGAAAGGUCUGAGUGUGAGCAUACAUGUUGGGACCCGAAAGAUGGUGAACUAUGCCUGAAUAGGGUGAAGCCGCGGGAAACCACGGUGGAGGCUCGUAGCGGUUCUGACGUGCAAAUCGAUCGUCAAAUUUGGGUAUAGGGGCGAAAGACUAAUCGAACCAUCUAGUAGCUGGUUCCCUCCGAAAUUUCCCUCAGGAUAGCUGCAAUCGAAUGUCAAUUUUAUCAGGUAAAGCGAAUGAUUAGAGGAUUCUGGGGAGUAAUUCCCUAGACCUAUUCUCAAACUUUAAAUGGGUAAGAACUCGGGGUUGCUUAAUUGAACCCUGCGGUCGAAUGACGGUUGCUAGUGGGCCACACCGGGUAAGCAGAACUGG